rnacentral:lncRNA from 1 species
CCUGUACUUGCCCCCCCGGCAGGGCCUCGCGGCACCCUGGGGGUCUCAGGGGGGCUCCGCUGCCCACCCCCAGCCCAUUGGCAGGGUGCCUGUGGUGGGCACAGCCCCAGGCACUGGGCAGCACGGGUGUCUGCUGGUCUGCGGUGGGGACCCUUGGGGAUUGGGGGUCCCUUUGGCUAUGGGGCAGGGCCUUCCUCCCCCGUGCCCAGGGGGUGCCACUGAAGGGGCACCGGUCCCCAGAGGCCAGCGCCAGGGGGUCCUGGGGGGGGCUGAAUCAGGGCCGGGACUGCCGGGGCCGUGGGUGCUGCUGGAGCUGGCAGGAGCUGGGCUGCGGGCAUGGAGCUACUGCCUGGGGACGUAUUUGUCCAGGGGACACCCCAGAGCAGUGCCAGGGGUGGGGACAUGGGGGAUGUGGGGGACAUGGGGGAUGUAGGGGACAAAGAGGGUGCAGGGGACAGGGGCAUGGGGGGGCUCCUUGCAAGACGUGAGGGAUCUGGGGACAUGAGCAAUGUCGGGGUGCUGGGGCCAUGAAGGAUACAGGGGACGGGGCUGCGCAUUGGAGCAGCCUGCAGACAGUGGGUGCAGGGGACACGGGGGUGGGGGUGAAAGGGGCUGUAGGGGACACGGGCAAUGUAGGGGACACGGGGCCAUGUGGUGCAGCUGCUGGACACGGGAUACAGGGGGUCUGGGGGCCCCAGGGGAUGUUGGGGGGGGGCACAGGGGGCAUGGCACGGGGCAGGUAGCACAGCCAGGGGAUGGCCGCACCGCACCCUCCCGGUGCCAGGAUCCGGUCCCAUGCAGCCGUGCCACAGGCAGGGUCCCUGUCCCGGGGGGCAUUCGGAGGUGGGGGAGCGCAGGGGCCAGGGGAGUGCCUGCAGCUGGGGGAUCCCCGACGCGGCCCCCGCGAGGGUUAAGGCUCCGCGGCAGAGCUGGAGGCGUCCCCGCCGGCCGCAGUGAGUCAGCGGGGAGAGGCCGCACAUCUGGAUCUGUCCUGCAGCAGCCGGACGGGGCCGCGAAUUCCCGGGGCUCGCGCAUGGCCCCGCCGAGCCCGGGGACGCCGGGGGACCCCGCGUGGCUGUGGGCGCUUUGGGUGCUGGCGUCGGUGCUGGGCCCCCUCUGCCUCUGGGCGCUCUUCGUGCUGCGGUGCCCGCGCCCCCCGGGGAAGCAGUUGGGAAGCGCGACGCCGCCGGCAGCCUCGCAGCGGGGCCGCGGGAGGGGCCCGAAGCAGCGCCCGGAGCCUGCUGGGGGACAGCGGCCGGCGGGGACCAGGACGAGGACGAGGACGGGCAGCAGCCACCGGACACACACAGUGGAGCUGAGGCCGGCGGGGUGCCGGCAGCCGGCGGAGAUGGCGGAGGAGAGCUCGAGCGGCAGCAGCAGCUCCCCGAGCCCCGGGGACACCCUGCCCUGGAACCUGGCCAAGCACCAGCGCACCAAACGCACCAAGGCGACCGCGGGCAACGGGACGGUGCUGGACCCUGCCGAGCGGGCGGUGAUCAGGAUCGCAGGUAGGGCCGGCAGCACGGGCGGCACCGUCUCGGGGCAGUGCCCGUGGGGGUCCGGGGAGGGCUCGGCCCCAUCGGGGACCCGGUAUUGUCGUGGCGGGGUCUGGUCGCGCUGUCCGAUGCACCCAGCUGCUCGCAGGGACCGCUGGCGAUUGUGGCCGUGCCAGGCUGCGCCGUUGCACACGUGCGUGGUGGUUGUGCCCAGCACGGGGCAAGCCCCUGUGGCCGGUGCCAGGAGGCCUGGCUGUGCCGCAGCAUGCGGCGGUGCCACGGGGCGAUGCCGCGGGGUGUCUGGGGGCGAUGCCGCGGGAGGUUCCGGCAGAGCCCCGAGGAUGGUUAGGGGAGCGGGGCAUCUCCCUUAGAGGGGAGGCUGAGGGAGCUGGGGCUCUGUAGGGUGGGGAAGAGGAGUCCGAGGGGUGACCUCGUUAACGUUUAUAAAUACGUAAAGGGUGAGCGUCAGGAGGACGGAGCCAGGCUCUUCUCGGUGACACCCGAUGACAGGACAAGGGGCAGCGGGUGCAAGCUGGAACACAGGAGGUGCAGCUUAAAUAUGAGAUGAAACUUUUUUACGGUGAGGGUGACAGAACAUGGAACAGGCUGCCCAGGGGGUUGUGGGGUCUGCUCCUCUUCGCCUGGACGCGAUCCUGUGUGACCUGACCCAGGUGUUCCUGCUCCGGCAGGGGGAUGGGACCGGCUGAUCUUCCAGGGUCCCUUCCAGUCCCUGACGUUCGGUGACUCUCUGUGGUACCGCUGACACCGGCAGCACCGGGCUGGGGAGCAGGGGGACGAUGCCGCGGCUCGGAGCUGCGCCGUGCCGUACCGCAGGCACUGCGGUCCCUGCGCCCUGUCGGGGUGGCCGAGCUGUGCCACGUCCCCUGUGCCACGACAGCGUGUCGCGGUGGCCGUCCCAUGCUGUUGCUGUGGCCAUGUCGUGUCACGGUGACCGUGCUGUGCCCCCUGUGCCGUGCUGUCACGGUGGCCGUGCUGCAUUGUGCUGGUUUUGCCAUGCCCCACUUGCUGUGUCACAGUGACCAUGCCGUGCCCCCUGUGCCAUGCUGUUGUUGUGACCGUGCGGUGCCCCCCGUGCCGUGCUGUCACGGUGGCCGUGCUGUGCCCCAUGUGCCGUGCUGUCACAGUGACUGUGCCGUGCCCACCGUGCUGUGUCAGUGAGCACACCGUGCCCCCCGUGUCGUGCUGUUGGUGUGGCCAUGCCAUGCCACCCGUGCUGUGCUGUCACGGUGGCCGUGCCGUGCCCCGUGUGCCAUGUCACAGUGUCGCCGUGGCUGUGCCAUGCCCCCUGUGCCCUGCUGUUGGU